CCCGAGAUGAGUUCUCCCUGAGACUAUAAGUCUCCUGAAGGAACGUUGAAGACGACGACGUUGAUAGGCCGGGUGUGUAAGCGCAGCGAUGCGUUGAGCUAACCGGUACUAAUGAACCGUGAGGCUUAACCUU
rnacentral:rRNA from 1 species